GUGCAGCAGGCGAGAAACCUCCGCAAUGCGCGAAAGCGCGACGGGGUUACCCGAGUGCCGUCCGCUGAGGACGGCUUUGCCCAGUGUAGCCAGCUGGGCGAAUAAGGAGAGGGCAAGUCUGGUGUCAGCCGCCGCGGUAAUACCAGCUCUCCGAGUGGUGGGGACGCUUAUUGGGCCUAAAGCAUCCGUAGCCGGUCUGGCAAGUCCCUUGUUAGAUCCAACGAUUCAAUCGUUGGACUGCAAGGGGAUACUGCCAGACUAGGGGGCGGGAGAGGCCGACGGUAUUCCCGGGGUAGGGGUGAAAUCCUAUAAUCCCGGGAGGACCACCAGUGGCGGAGGUUGUCGGCUAGAACGCGCCCGACGGUGAGGGAUGAAAGCUGGGGGAGCGAACCGGAUUAGAUACCCCCGUAGU
rnacentral:rRNA from 1 species